rnacentral:rRNA from 1 species
UACGUAGGGCGCAAGCGUUGUCCGGAUUUAUUGGGCGUAAAGAGCUCGUAGGCGGUCUGUCGCGUCGGCUGUGAAAACCCGGGGCUCAACCCCGGGCCUGCAGUCGAUACGGGCAGACUAGAGUGCGGUAGGGGAGACUGGAAUUCCUGGUGUAGCGGUGAAAUGCGCAGAUAUCAGGAGGAACACCGGUGGCGAAGGCGGGUCUCUGGGCCGCUACUGACGCUGAGGAGCGAAAGCGUGGGGAGCAAACAGG